rnacentral:rRNA from 1 species
CUGCUAAUACCGCAUAAGCGCACAGUGUCGCAUGACACGGUGUGAAAAACUCCGGUGGUAUGAGAUGGACCCGCGUCUGAUUAGCUGGUUGGCGGGGUAACGGCCCACCAAGGCGACGAUCAGUAGCCGACCUGAGAGGGUGAUCGGCCACAUUGGGACUGAGACACGGCCCAAACUCCUACGGGAGGCAGCAGUGGGGAAUAUUGCACAAUGGGGGAAACCCUGAUGCAGCGACGCCGCGUGAAGGACGACGUAUUUCGGUAUGUAAACUUCUAUCAGCAAGGAAGAUGAUGACGGUACUUGACUAAGAAGCCCCGGCUAACUACGUGCCAGCAGCCGCGGUAAUACGUAGGGGGCAAGCGUUAUCCGGAUUUACUGGGUGUAAAGGGAGCGUAGGCGGCCAUGCAAGUCAGAAGUGAAAGCCCGGGGCUCAACCCCGGGACUGCUUUUGAAACUGUAAGGCUAGAUUGCCGGAGAGGUAAGCGGAAUUCCUAGUGUAGCGGUGAAAUGCGUAGAUAUUAGGAGGAACACCAGUGGCGAAGGC